rnacentral:rRNA from 1 species
AUUGAACGCUGGCGGCAGGCCUAACACAUGCAAGUCGAACGAGUGGCGGAGGGGUGAGUAAUGUCUGGGAAACUGCCCGAUGGAGGGGGAGAACUACUGGAGACGGUAGCUAAAACCGCGUACCAUAUGAUGUGCCCACAUGGGAUAAGCUCGUAGGUGGGGUAACGGCUCACCUAGGCGACGAUCCCUAGCUGGUCUGAGAGGAUGACCAGCCACACUGUAACUGAGACACGGUCCAGACUCCUACGGGAGGCAGCAGUGGGGAAUAUUGCACAAUGGGCGCAAGCCUGAUGCAGCCAUGCCGCGUGUAUGAAGAAGGCCUUCGGGUUGUAAAGUACUUUCAGCGGGGAGGCGUUACCCGCAGAAGAAGCACCGGCUAACUCCGUGCCAGCAGCCGCGGUAAUAC